CCCUUGGCUCAACCAAGGAAGGCAUUUGAAACUGUCUGGCUUGAGUACGGGAGGGAGAAGUGGAAUUCCCGGUGUAGAGGUGAAAUUCGUAGAUAUCGGGAGGAACACCGGUGGCGAAGGCGGCUUCCUGGACCGAUACUGACGCUGAGACGCGAAAGCGUGGGGAGCAAACAGGAUUAGAUACCCUGGUAGUCCACGCCGUAAACGAUGGGCACUAGGUGUAGGAGGUAUUGACCCCUGCAGUGCCAAGGGCGAAUUC
rnacentral:rRNA from 1 species